rnacentral:rRNA from 1 species
AGCGAUAGCUGGUUUCUCAAGAAAAGAAUUUUAGUUCAACUUAAAGUAAUUUUAAUCUUAAAAAAUACCUUAACUUUAAAGAAAUUCAAAUAAGGUACAGCCUAUUUGACACAGGACUCAACCUUUACUAACGGGUAACAAUUAACUAACACUCCAAAGUGGGCCUAAAAGCAGCCAUCUCCUUAAAAGCGUUAAAGCUUGAUCGUGUUAACUUUAAUAACUACCACACUAUUGACCCCUUCACCACUACUGAGAACUUCUAUAAGAUAUAGAACCUUUUAUGCUAAAACUAGUAACUAGGGGAACACCCCCUCUAUUAUGCAAGUAUAAUCCAGAACGAAUAAAUCACUGGUACUUAACAUUCAUAAAAUAGUAACUUCCACUAGAAAAUUCUAUUCCACCUGACGUUAACCUAACACAAGAGCAUUUCAAGAAAGAUUAAAAGAAAAAGAAGGAAUUCGGCAAAUACUUAUCCCGCCUGUUUACCAAAAACAUCACCUCUUGCUUUUAUAAGAGGCCCAGCCUGCCCAGUGACUCUUGUUUAACGGCCGCGGUACCCUAACCGUGCGAAGGUAGCGUAAUCACUUGUCCUAUAAAUGAGGACUAGUAUGAAAGGCUUCACGAGGAUUAAACUGUCUCCUUUUUCUAAUCAGUAAACCUAAUCUCCCCGUGAAGAAGCGGGGUUAAUUGGGCUUACGACCUCGAUGUUGGAUCAGGGUAUCCUAGUGGUGCAGCCGCUACUAACGGUUCGUUUGUUCAACGAUUAAAACCCUACGUGAUCUGAGUUCAGACCGGAGUAAUCCAGGUCAGUUUCUAUCUAUAAUAGAGCUUUUUUCAGUACGAAAGGAUCAAAACAGCGUGACCUAUGUAUGCACAAGUCACAGUUAAUCAUUUUAGACCAACUCUUAAAAAAUAAUUAACCUUCUUCUUCCCCCCUAAAAAAGGACAGCUAGUGUAGUAUACCCCGGCUUUACAAAAGAUCUAAAUCCUUUUUAUAGGGGUUCAAAUCCCCUCACUA